GACAGAGGUGCCGAGCGUUAGGCGGAAUCACUGGGCUUAAAGCGUGUGUAGGCGGAUCGUUAAGUACCUUGUGAAAUCCCACGGCUCAACCGUGGAACUGCUGGGUAUACUGGCGAUCUUGAGCCACCUAGGGGCGAGCGGAACAAGCGGUGGAGCGGUGAAAUGCGUAGAUAUCGCUUGGAACGCCGACGGUGAAAACAGGUAGCUGGGAGUGUGCUGACGCUGAGACACGAAAGCCAGGGGAGCGAACGGG
rnacentral:rRNA from 1 species